AUCUGUUCAGUAUACACCCACACAAUUCUAGAAGAAUCUCUUAUGAGAACAAGAAACCCUCGGUUGUUUCAUUUGAUUUCUCUUCAUGGUCUUUCAAUUUCAAUGCAAAGUUGCCCUUCUCUUGUUCCAACAAUCUUCAUCAAUUUCAUACUUAUUUCACUUCUAUUCAUCUUCUCAGCGGGCUAUCGCCAUGUAAG